GGCUUAGUGGUCCAAUGGUAGAGCGCUCGUCGCGGAACCAGAGGGUCCUUAGGUUCGAUCCCCAACAGGGUCG
rnacentral:tRNA from 1 species